AUUGAACGCUGGCGGCAGGCCUAACACAUGCGAGUCGAGCGGAUGAAGGGAGCUUGCUCCUGGAUUCAGCGGCGGACGGGUGAGUAAUGCCUAGGAAUCUGCCUGGUAGUGGGGGAUAACGUCCGGAAACGGGCGCUAAUACCGCAUACGUCCUGAGGGAGAAAGUGGGGGAUCUUCGGACCUCACGCUAUCAGAUGAGCCUAGGUCGGAUUAGCUAGUUGGUGGGGUAAAGGCCUACCAAGGCGACGAUCCGUAACUGGUCUGAGAGGAUGAUCAGUCACACUGGAACUGAGACACGGUCCAGACUCCUACGGGAGGCAGCAGUGGGGAAUAUUGGACAAUGGGCGAAAGCCUGGUCCAGCCAUGCCGCGUGUGUGAAGAAGGUCUUCGGAUUGUAAAGCACUUUAAGUUGGGAGGAAGGGCAGUAAGUUAAUACCUUGCUGUUUUGACGUUACCAACAGAAUAAGCACCGGCUAACUUCGUG
rnacentral:rRNA from 1 species